CACCUCACUAAUUUGGAAGCUUCAUGCCCUUGGUGGUGGUGAAUCAAGGCCUUGAAAAGUGGCUGGUCCAAGAUGACAGAGGAAAUUGGUGGUAGAGCCAGGAAUAGGGUGCUCUUUGCAUGACACCUUGGUGAUUCAGCCUACAAUACAGAGGAGAAAGCUGAGGCUUGAAAAGAUUCCAUGAUCAGCCCAAAGUCAGAGAACUGGUGAGUGGCUGAACUGUGAUCCAAUGCCAGGUUGUUCCGUGAGAGUCUGAGGCACUUUCACUGCCCCCCAAACCACCAAACUUCAUUGAUCUCCAGGAAGGAGAAAGAAUGGAAAGCAAACAUGAGGGUGAAUGGAAAGGACUGAAAAAGCAAUGGACAAUGGAGGCAAAGAGGGCGACAACCAACCAGCCAGUGUGGAAGAAAAGAGAGAGGAAGAUGCAAAGGGAAGUUCAUGAGCCUCUUUGUAGUUCAUAGGUGACACGCCAUCUGUACCACAGAAUGGUUUAAAAAAACAGGCCCCAUCAAUCUCAACCUAUGAACACAGAAAAAUCCUAAAUAAAAUACUAGAAAUAAAAACCAACAGCAUAUUUAAAAUAGCACAUAGUGACUAUUUCACAUGUGUUGGAGGUAUUAGCCAAUGCAACUAGAUACGAGAAUGCAAGUAGACGCAUAAUAAUCAGAAAAGAAAGAAAAUCUAUCUGCUUGCUGAUAUGACUGUAUGUAUAUCUGAA